rnacentral:rRNA from 1 species
AUUGAACGCUGGCGGCAGGCCUAACACAUGCAAGUCGAGCGGAUGAAGGGAGCUUGCUCCUGGAUUCAGCGGCGGACGGGUGAGUAAUGCCUAGGAAUCUGCCUGGUAGUGGGGGAUAACGUCCGGAAACGGGCGCUAAUACCGCAUACGUCCUGAGGGAGAAAGUGGGGGAUCUUCGGACCUCACGCUAUCAGAUGAGCCUAGGUCGGAUUAGCUAGUUGGUGGGGUAAAGGCCUACCAAGGCGACGAUCCGUAACUGGUCUGAGAGGAUGAUCAGUCACACUGGAAAUGAGACAUGGUGCAGACUCCUACGGGAGGCAGCAGUGGGGAAUAUUGGACAAUGGGCGAAAGCCUGAUCCAGACAUGCCGCGUGUGUGAAGAAGGUCUUCGGAUUGUAAAGCACUUUAAGUUGGGAGGAAGGGCAGUAAGUUAAUACCUUGCUGUUUUGACGUUACCAACAGAAUAAGCACCGGCUAACUUCGUG